ACAAUAGAUCUAAGUUCAAUGAAGUUGACAAUGCUAAAUCUCGCCUCUAAAAGCUCUGUCUCAAUAUUUCUUCCCACGCUCGAAAUUAAUUGUCUGAAUCUGAAAAAUAGAAAGAAAAGUAAUGAGCUAGACAGCCCAGUAAGUAACAAGUAUCUCUACCAGAUAUUUCAGAUAUUAUAUAAUUUUCAAGAAUAAUGCUGCAAAUAACAUAAAAAUAUAUUUCAUGCUGAUUUAAUGCAAAUCCAAUAUUUUCAAAUAUUCACAUAUAAUUAUAAUCAUAAAUCCGAUUCGAUUCAAAACACUCGUAACUCAACAGCCUCGACUAUGACCAACGUUUAACCCCCAUCGGCAGGGUCCACAGAGUACCAGUGCACAACCCCCACUGGCAGGGUCCACAAACACCAGCGCACAACCCCCACUGGCAGGGUCCACUGAGUACCAACGUAUAAUCCCCAUUGGCGGGGCCCACUGAAACAUAGUUAGGCUGAGAGCAAAAAUCCGAUCUGUAUCAAAACACUUUGUAUCAUAAUAUAUCAUAAUUUUUCACUGAACAUGCGCAUAAAUCGACAUACCAUAAUAUUUUAAAAAGCACUUUUCUUUCAAAACAUAAUUUCAUAAAUCAUGCAUAAUUUCAGAGAAUAAUUAUUUAUUUUCAGAAUAAAUAUGGAAUAUCUCGAGAAGAUGUUUCAUUACUUAUCUUUCACAGAGCACUGAAUGAACAGAUCGACUAACUUCUAGGAGAUUCUUCCGUGCCUAUUAUCCAAAAUUAUAUUUUUACAUUAAUUUUAAUUUAAAAUUAAAUCUAACAAAUCCCAAAAUCAAAACCUCACUUAAAAUCAGACUCUUUCCUAAACUCGAUCAAGAUCAUCAAUGAAGCCUUCCACUUCGCUAAUCCUAGAGGAAUAACUUUAGAGAGAG
rnacentral:lncRNA from 1 species